rnacentral:lncRNA from 12 species
UGCCCAGGACCCAUGGGAGCAGAAAAGCUGAAGUGCCCUGCAAAUCCUCACUUUCAAGGAAUUUGCCAACCACUUAUUGGCAGGUUUUGGGAGAAGAGUGGAGCAGGAGGUGGUGGGAUUCUGACAGCACAAUGGUGGAUAAAACUGAGGAAUAUGGGAAGGUCAGGAAGCACCAUCUCCCCCAGACCCUGAGCUGGCUUCUGCUGAGUGGAUAGAUCAUAUCUGGC